rnacentral:lncRNA from 1 species
AUAGAUGAAUAGAAUGAGCAAAAGUUGCAGCACAGCGUGUCACCAGAGAGGAAAAGAAUAUCCUUGCUGUGCCAAGAAAGAAAAGACCAUGGAUCUACUAGUUGCAGAUUUCAGCAGUAAUGCCAAGGGGGCAAGAAGUGACCAGCAGAACAAUUAGGCCAUGGCAACAGAAGCCAACUACAACCCAUGUUCCAAUCUAUGACCUCCCUCUCCUGCUGGUACAAGGAUAUGAUCUGGAGUCUGGGAAGUUCAAGAGCAUGGCACCAACAUCUGGCAAGGGCUUUCAUUCUGCAUCAUCUCAUGGAGGAAAAUAAAAAGAUUUCAGGUAAAUCCAGAUUUGGAGCUUAAAUGACUCAAAUGCUUUGCCUACAUUGAUCCUACAUUCAGGCUGCUUACAUAUCUCUUGGCUUCUCUGAGAACCAGAUUGUCACCACUUAAAGUGUCUUCCAGAGUCCUCACGAGUAUCAGAGAAGGCAUAAUCUGUACACGUGGCUUCAUUUAAAAUGAAAAUAUCAAGCAGUGUCAUUUUCACAAGUAUCCCCACACUGUCUGAGGCUGAAAAGAAGAGUGUAGCUAUGCACACUGCAGUGAGAAGAAAAUUUCAGCUCAAUUGGAGGAUGUAAAGAUUGAAAUACCACUGCUCCUAGUUCUGAUGCAAAAUUGAAAAGAGUGCACUGGGUCUUCAAAUGGCAUAUUGACAAGGAGAAAGAGGAAAGGAUGCCCCAGGACAGCCUGGGGGUCAAGGCUGGGCUCAGGCAUGCCUGGACAAGCCAUGCAAGUUGUCUCCGGACUUGAACCACGUAUCAGAGGAGCUAUUUGAGGAGCCACAUCAGCAUACCUGCUUCUGUGGGCCCCCAGGCUGUGGUGCUCAGCCCUUGCACUAUGAAACAUUUUUUUUUUCCAGAAGCCAAAGCUUUGAGCAUCUCCUCCCAUGUAGAGAGUGUAUAUGUUUACGUCCAUGUCUUUCGCCAUGUGAACGCAUGCAACCACCACCUCAAAUAUCAUAAAUCCUCUCUCUCCCCCUUUCUGUCUGCCUGUUUAUCUACAAUCUGUCUAUUUAAAUUCUUUUUAAACAAGAAGGGAAUAUCUUUAUGCCUGUUUGUAGGGAUAUUCUACAUCCAUCUGUUAUUUACAUCAUUCGUUUUCCUGAGGUGUCUCCAACAAAUCCUGGCUGGAUGCACUGUAUGUGUUAUUAAUAAAACAGCUGUAAAAAUAUUAA